rnacentral:lncRNA from 1 species
CUUUACCCCCUGUUUUGGUCUAUAACUGAAAGAAGCCUGUUUCUACCAAGAAUGGCAUGACGACAACCGUUCCUUGGGGAUCCAAGCAAUGUGUCGGGGGAGUGUGCAGAGGGCACAUGCCUGGGCGCCUCGGACGCUUGGUCCAGGUGUGGGCUGUGGCUGGGCCUUCGAGUGCAGGCGGUUCUUCUGUAUUAGGGAGACUCGUUCAGAAACUCAUUGGCAGCUGCUGAAAAAACUUACUUCAGACCCUUGCCAGUUUGAAAUUCGUGACCGGGUGCCAGAGAAGAUGGCAGUGUUCAUGGGAACUAUUUCAACCAACUGUAUGCUGGUUCUGAGAAUACAAAGAGGUGUAAGAUCUGGGUCUUGCCGUCAAGGGAUCCUACGGUCUAUGCAAGUUCAAAAAAAGGAGAUGACAGAAGGACUAUAUAAACUGCUUCUGAGAACAAGAUAGGAUUUUUAACACCACCACGACCACCAAUUUUUAAUUGAUUUUUUUUGUCAAAAAUGAACCACACGCUCACAUACACACGGAGUUUUGAGUUUUAACCUAUUUUGAAAUUCAAACAUAUUGUAACAAAAUGCGGAUUGUAUUAUUUGAGAAAAUACAUUUGUGAGCUCACUUUAGGAUAAGUGCAGCAGAAGGAGAACAGAAAAGACUGCAGCUGGAAUGAUCUGGAUUACGCUGCGGCCCCGUGUUUCGUUGGUUCGAAUCCUGGGCGCGGACAUGGCCCUGCUCAUCAGACCACGCUGAGGCGGCGUCCCACAUGCCACAACUAGAAGGACCCACAACUAAGAAUAUACAACUAUGUACUGGGGGGCUUUGGGGAGAAAAAGGAAAAAAAAUAAAAUCUUAAAAAAAAAAUUUGAUUGUUUAUUUGUAGUAUUAAUUUCAAAAGCUUGACAUGGUGGGAAAGUAAGAAAUUGCUCAGGAUGAAGGAGCUGGAAGG